ensembl:lncRNA
UUUUUUUCUUUCUGUUUUUUUUUUUUUUUUUUUAAGAGAUAGGGUCUUACUCUGUCACCCAGGCUGGAGUGCAGGGACAUGAUCAUAGCUCACUGAAACCUCCAACCUCCUGGGCUCAAGCAAUCCUCCUGCUUCAGCUUCCUGGAAAGCUGGAACUGCAGGGAACUUCCACCACACCUGGCUAUUUUAAAAAAUUUUUUAGAGACAGGGUCUCACUCUGUUGCCCAGGAUGGCUAUACUCUAUUUUCUGAUGAAUUUUAUAGAUAAAUGAAUCACAAACUAUUCACCAAGUGCUUAUGAUGUCAAAGGCCUGUGUGGAAUGACCACCAUUCCGGCUUCCAGAGCGAGAAGAUGAUACCUAGAGACAAACAAGUAACCGAUGGUAAUAAGCCAGCCACAGCUAACAAUUACCAACGCUUCCUGCAUGCCAGGGAUCACUCUGUGGGUUUUAUGGGAAUAACUCCCUUUAAUUCUCAUAUCCAACCUUGGAUGCAGCUAUAGCCAUUUGACAGAUGAGGAGACAUGCUCAGAAAGGGCAGGCGUCUUGCCCAAGUCACACAAGCAGUAAGCGGCAACACUUGGCGUUGAAGGUACAAAUCUUCCUCCAGGGUCUGCGAUUUUAACACCUGGAUUAGUCUGUUUUCACGCUGCUGAUAAAGACACACCCGAGACUGGGUAAUUUAUAAAGAAAAAGAGGUUUAACAGAUUCACAUUUCCACCUGGCUGGUGAGGCCUCACAAUCAUGGCAGAAGGUGAAAGUCACGUCUUACAUGGCAACAAACAAGAGAGAAUGAGAGAACUUGUGUAGGGAAACUCCCCUUUAUAAAACCAUCAGAUCUCAUGAGAGUCACUCACUAUCACAAAAACAGCACCAGAAAGACCUGCCCCCAUGAUUCAAUAACCUCCCAUUGGGUCCCUCCCACAACACGUGUGAGAAUCAUGGGAGCUACAAUUCAAGAUGAGACUUAGGUGUGGACACAGCCAAACCAUAUCACUACUGCAGAAGAAGAGCCAUGAAAGCUGUUCACAGCAGGAGAGGCAAAAGGCCCUUUCCUCAAUGCCCAUCUGGGAAUACCUCACCCUUGUCUCCAUUCCAGACACAAUUAUCCAUUGAGAGCCGUCCUCCAAGACCCCAGGUUCACAGGGGCUAGAAGAGCAGCUUGAAACACUGGACAUGCCCUUUGGAGCCAGAGGUCAGGCCAGGUGGGAGGUGUCCACUGGCAGGUGAGGGACAAAGAGAUUCUCUCUGUGCAGUUCAGACCACAGCCACGGAGAAUUAUUUAAACCCCUCAUGGGAAAUCGCAGCAACGUCAGACAGAUUCAAUGUGCGUGACUGUACGUGUGUGUGCCUAUGUGUGGUUGGGGGAGGGGCUCAGGGAGGAGGUGUGACAAGCCUGAGUGACCCAAGAGGGACACAGGGCCCAGGGAGGGUAGGAGACUCCUCUGCCAUCCAGGGAGGAUACAGCAAGCUGAGCAGUCCCUGAUGAAACCAAAAGAGUCUCAGAUCCUGUCCCUUUUCCUCCUCAGAACUCAGAGCACUGGAUCCUUCGUUCAGAAAGCAAGAGAAAACACCAAUACAAUUCCUGCUAUGGCUGAGGAUGAGGGCGUGGAGCAGGUCACACAGACAUACUAGCAGGCCUGCAAAGUCGAAACCGUAACAGCCACAAUAACUCACACAUGUCAACAACUGACCUGGCGCCAGGUGUUGCCCCAUUUAACCUCCAAGACUCUCCUGUGAGGUGAGAACCAUGAUCAUCCCCAUUAUACAGGUGAGAAGACCGAGGCUGAUGGGAGUUCAUCACGUGGUGCACAGGGAGCAAAGCCAUGAUUCGAAUCCAGGAAGCCUCUCUGUCUUAGGAAGACACACACGCACCCACUCGUCAUGCAACAACAGAUGCAGAAGUAACAGUCAGAGUUGGCCAGGCACAGGGGC